UACGUAGGGCGCAAGCGUUAUCCGGAAUUAUUGGGCGUAAAGAGCUCGUAGGCGGUUUGUCGCGUCUGCCGUGAAAGUCCGGGGCUCAACUCCGGAUCUGCGGUGGGUACGGGCAGACUAGAGUGAUGUAGGGGAGACUGGAAUUCCUGGUGUAGCGGUGAAAUGCGCAGAUAUCAGGAGGAACACCGAUGGCGAAGGCAGGUCUCUGGGCAUUAACUGACGCUGAGGUGCGAAAGCGUGGGGAGCAAACAGG
rnacentral:rRNA from 1 species